rnacentral:rRNA from 1 species
CUCGCCUGUUUUUCAAAAACAUUUCUAUUAGAAAUAAUUAAUAGUAAAAUCUGCUCAAUGAAAAUUUAAAUAGCCGCAUACGUGCUAAGGUAGCAUAAUCAUUUGUCUUUUAAUUAAAGACUAGAAUAAAAGAUUUAACUUUUAAAUUAAUUUUUUAAACUUAAUUAUUUAAAUUAUCUUAAAUGUAAAAAGACAUUUAUAUAAAAGAAAGACGAUAAGACCCUAUCGAACUUUAACUUCAGUUAAACUGGGGCAGUUAAUUAAUUAUUAUUUUAAUUCAAAUAAAAUAAAAAUUAGACCUAAUAUAAUUAAUUUCAUAAUCAAGUUACCGUAGGGAUAACAGCGUAAUAAAAUUUUUAAGCUCUUAUUUAAAAUAAAGAUUGCGACCUCGAUGUUGAUUUAAUAACCUAACUCACGCAAUAGUGAACCAAGGAAGUCUGUUCGACUAUUAAAAAAUUACAUGAUCUGAGUUCCAAACCGGA